UACAGAGGGGGCAAGCGUUUGUUCGGAAUUACUGGGCGUAAAGGGCGCGUAGGCGGCCUUCUAAGUCGAACGUGAAAUCCCUGGGCUCAACCCAGGAACUGCGUCCGAUACUGGAAGGCUUGAAUCCGGGAGAGGGAUGCGGAAUUCCAGGUGUAGCGGUGAAAAUGCGUAGAUAUCUGGAGGAACACCGGUGGCGAAGGCGGCAUCCUGGACCGGUAUUGACGCUGAGGCGCGAAAGCCAGGGGAGCAAACGGG
rnacentral:rRNA from 1 species